rnacentral:rRNA from 1 species
CAUCGCCUCUUGCAUCCCAAAGUAUAAGAGGUCCCACCUGCCCUGUGACUCUAAGUUUAACGGCCGCGGUAUUCUAACCGUGCGAAGGUAGCGCAAUCAAUUGCCUUUUAAAUGAAGGCCUGUAUGAAUGGUAUAACGAGGGUCUGACUGUCUCUUUUUUCUAGUCAGUUAAACUGAUCUGUCCGUGCAGAAGCGGACAUUAUUAUACAAGACGAGAAGACCCUAUGGAGCUUUAGACACUAGCCAACUGUGAAUGAGCGACUGAACUAUACAAGUCUUAAAUACCCACAGCCUCUGGUAAUGUAGUCUUAGGUUGGGGCGACCACGGGAGAAAAUAAAGCUCCCAAGCAGACCGGGGAAACCCUUAAGCCCAGAGUUGCAACUCUAAGCCGCAAAAAUUUUGACUGAAAUGAUCCGGUUGAAAAACCGAUUAACGAACCAAGUUACCCUAGGGAUAACAGCGCAAUCCUCUCCCAGAGUCCCUAUCGACGAGGGGGUUUACGACCUCGAUGUUGGAUCAGGACAUCCUAAUGGUGCAGCCGCUAUUAAGGGUUCGUUUGUUCAACGAUUAAAGUCCUACGUGA